rnacentral:rRNA from 1 species
UAGGGAAUCUUCCGCAAUGGACGCAAGUCUGACGGAGCAACGCCGCGUGAGUGAAGAAGGAUUUCGGUUCGUAAAACUCUGUUGUUAGAGAAGAACAGCGCAUAGAGUAACUGUUAUGCGUGUGACGGUAUCUAACCAGAAAGCCACGGCUAACUACGUGCCAGCAGCUGCGGUAAUACGUAGGUGGCAAGCGUUGUCCGGAUUUAUUGGGCGUAAAGCGAGCGCAGGCGGUCAAUUAAGUCUGAUGUGAAAGCCCCCGGCUCAACCGGGGGGGGUCAUUGGAAACUGGUUGACUUGAGUGCAGAAGAGGGGAGUGGAAUUCCAUGUGUAGCGGUGAAAUGCGUAGAUGUAUGGAGGAACACCAGUGGCGAAGGCGACUCUCUGGUCUGUAACUGACGCUGAGGCUCGAAAGCGUGGGUAGCAAACAGG